UGAACGCUGGCGGCAGGCUUAACACAUGCAAGUCGAACGAUGAUUAUUCAGCUUGCUGAAUAUGAUUAGUGGCGGACGGGUGAGUAAUGCCUAGGAAUCUGCCCAGUAGUGGGGGACAACAGCCGGAAACGGCUGCUAAUACCGCAUACGCCCUACGGGGGAAAGGGGGCUCUUCGGAGCUCUCGCUAUUGGAUGAGCCUAGGUCAGAUUAGCUAGUUGGUGGGGUAAAGGCCUACCAAGGCGACGAUCUGUAGCUGGUCUGAGAGGAUGAUCAGCCACACUGGGACUGAGACACGGCCCAGACUCCUACGGGAGGCAGCAGUGGGGAAUAUUGGACAAUGGGGGCAACCCUGAUCCAGCCAUGCCGCGUGUGUGAAGAAGGCCUUUUGGUUGUAAAGCACUUUAAGCAGGGAGGAAAAGCUCGUAGUUAAUACCUGCGAGCCAUGACGUUACCUGCAGAAUAAGCACCGGCUAACUCUGUGCCAGCAGCCGCGGUAAUACAGAGGGUGCAAGCGUUAAUCGGAAUUACUGGGCGUAAAGCGCGCGUAGGUGGCUUAAUAAGUCAGAUGUGAAAGCCCCGGGCUUAACCUGGGAACUGCAUCUGAUACUGUUAGGCUCGAGUAUGGGAGAGGGAAGUAGAAUUUCAGGUGUAGCGGUGAAAUGCGUAGAGAUCUGAAGGAAUACCGAUGGCGAAGGCAGCUUCCUGGGCCUAAUACUGACACUGAGGUGCGAAAGCGUGGGUAGCAAACAGGAUUAGAUACCCUGGUAGUCCACGCCGUAAACGAUGUCUACUAGCCGUUGGGGCCCUUGAGGCCUUAGUGGCGCAGCUAACGCAAUAAGUAGACCGCCUGGGGAGUACGGCCGCAAGGUUAAAACUCAAAUGAAUUGACGGGGGCCCGCACAAGCGGUGGAGCAUGUGGUUUAAUUCGACGCAACGCGAAGAACCUUACCUGGUCUUGACAUCCUGCGAACUUACUAGAGAUAGUUUGGUGCCUUCGGGAACGCAGUGACAGGUGCUGCAUGGCUGUCGUCAGCUCGUGUCGUGAGAUGUUGGGUUAAGUCCCGCAACGAGCGCAACCCUUUUCCUUAGUUACCAGCGGUUCGGCCGGGCACUUUAAGGAUACUGCCAGUGACAAACUGGAGGAAGGCGGGGACGACGUCAAGUCAUCAUGGCCCUUACGACCAGGGCUACACACGUGCUACAAUGGCAAGUACAGAGGGUCGCUAACCUGCGAGGGUAUGCUAAUCUCACAAAGCUUGUCGUAGUCCGGAUCGGAGUCUGCAACUCGACUCCGUGAAGUCGGAAUCGCUAGUAAUCGCGGAUCAGAAUGCCGCGGUGAAUACGUUCCCGGGCCUUGUACACACCG
rnacentral:rRNA from 1 species